GAUGAACGCUGGCGGCGUGCCUAAUACAUGCAAGUCGAGCGAACGGACGAGAAGCUUGCUUCUCUGAUGUUAGCGGCGGACGGGUGAGUAACACGUGGAUAACCUACCUAUAAGACUGGGAUAACUUCGGGAAACCGGAGCUAAUACCGGAUGAUAUUUUGAACCGCAUGGUUCAAAAGUGAAAGACGGUCUUGCUGUCACUUAUAGAUGGAUCCGCGCUGCAUUAGCUAGUUGGUAAGGUAACGGAUUACCAAGGCAACGAUGCAUAGCCGACCUGAGAGGGUGAUCGGCCACACUGGAACUGAGACACGGUCCAGACUCCUACGGGAGGCAGCAGUAGGGAAUCUUCCGCAAUGGGCGAAAGCCUGACGGAGCAACGCCGCGUGAGUGAUGAAGGUCUUCGGAUCGUAAAACUCUGUUAUUAGGGAAGAACAUAUGUGUAAGUAACUGUGCACAUCUUGACGGUACCUAAUCAGAAAGCCACGGCUAACUACGU
rnacentral:rRNA from 1 species